rnacentral:rRNA from 1 species
UAGGGAAUCUUCGGCAAUGGGGGCAACCCUGACCGAGCAACGCCGCGUGAGUGAAGAAGGUUUUCGGAUCGUAAAGCUCUGUUGUAAGUCAAGAACGGGUGUGAGAGUGGAAAGUUCACACUGUGACGGUAGCUUACCAGAAAGGGACGGCUAACUACGUGCCAGCAGCCGCGGUAAUACGUAGGUCCCGAGCGUUGUCCGGAUUUAUUGGGCGUAAAGCGAGCGCAGGCGGGUUGAUAAGUCUGAAGUUAAAGGCUGUGGCUCAACCAUAGUUCGCUUUGGAAACUGUCAAACUUGAGUGCAGAAGGGGAGAGUGGAAUUCCAUGUGUAGCGGUGAAAUGCGUAGAUAUAUGGAGGAACACCGGUGGCGAAAGCGGCUCUCUGGUCUGUAACUGACGCUGAGGCUCGAAAGCGUGGGGAGCGAACAGG